GGGAUUUGAACGUUUUGCACAUCUGCUCUUAGAUCAGAAAACCUAUCUGCACGAUCCGCUUAUAUUACUCGACCGGAACCGUAGAUUCUCAAAGCAAAUGACUAUUGCUGGAUCGCCGCGCUAAUGUCACUGAUUCCACCCCUUGGAUGUCACUGCUUGGCACAAUCCUCUUAUUGUGAAUUUCAUGUCCUCUUUCGUGGUUAGUCGAUAGAGUUGUACUACCUUUAUUCAUCCAGUGUUAUAAAUGUUUGUCCAGUGCUAGCUCUUCACUUGGGGAUUGCACAACAGGGGGUUCGUGCCAAGCUGUGUGCAACCUAAGGGUGGUUUUAAUUCCAGGUUUAUGCAUCAGGAUUCGCAGGCAGAGAGUACAUGGGUGGAAUGCUUGUGUCGUAUUCUUAUUUACAUAUAUUUCUACACACAGUUCUCAGUUACCAACAAUGGAGUGAGAACUAGUGGAGAUCGGAUAGGCGAGAUAGAAUUGGGACACACACCGUUGUCAAACUUCGAAGGCAAAUUAACUUACUGAAUUGCUCACAAAUAUUGUGAUAUUCUUUGACAUGGAUGACGACGACUAGCCGUACUGUCAUUGCAUCUGAGGAAGAAGGUAUGUUUUUCAGAAGGUAUGAUUUUCAGUGGCAGUAGAAAACAACACGAUCUCUUCUUUUCCAUGUCAUUUGGGGUUUGUCAUGAAAUGAAUGUCUCGUUAGUUAUUAUUUAGUCCUAGUCUUCAUGUCAUUCUUCGAAUCAUAAUUUCCAAAUAUAUUUCCUCUAGUGUUUUAGAGAUACUAAUUUGUAUUGCCUCAACUCAGCAAACAGGUCGAGAAGUGAACACCCUGAGUUUAUGAUAGGAAUUCUACCAGCAUGUAUUUAAUCCGUUGCAGUGAAGGUACAAGGAGAGUUAAGACUUUUAUUCUUGCCAAGUAAGUCAUUGUGCAGCGAUGGCAGUGGUCAUUGGAAGUCAAUACACUGUUGUGCUAUAUGUAGAACAGUUAUCUGUUCAACCACAUUACCCUUGUUACAUUACAACAAGUUUCAGUAAACGUAGAGUACUACAUGGUUCAAUCGA